rnacentral:tRNA from 4 species
GGCGGCAUAGCCAAGUGGCUAAGGCAGCGGUCUGCAAAACCGUUAUUCUCCGGUUCGAAUCCGGAUGCCGCCUCCA